CUAUGCGCCUUGCCAGCCCGCUCAGGUGUGCCAGCCGCCGCGGUAAUACAGAGGUCUCAAGCGUUGUUCGGAAUCACUGGGCGUAAAGCGUGCGUAGGCGGUUUCGUAAGUCGUGUGUGAAAGGCGGGGGCUCAACCCCCGGACUGCACAUGAUACUGCGAGACUAGAGUAAUGGAGGGGAACCGGAAUUCUCGGUGUAGCAGUGAAAUGCGUAGAUAUCGAGAGGAACACUCGUGGCGAAGGCGGGUUCCUGGACAUUGACUGACGCUGAGCACGAAGGCCAGGAGCGAAAGGG
rnacentral:rRNA from 1 species